rnacentral:rRNA from 1 species
ACGAACGCUGGCGGCGCGCCUAACACAUGCAAGUCGAACGGAGCUUAGAGAGCUUGCUUUUUAAGCUUAGUGGCGAACGGGUGAGUAACGCGUGAGUAACCUGCCCUAGAGUGGGGGACAACAGUUGGAAACGACUGCUAAUACCGCAUAAGCCCACGGUACCGCAUGGUACUGAGGGAAAAGGAUUUAUUCGCUUUAGGAUGGACUCGCGUCCAAUUAGCUAGUUGGUGAGGUAACGGCCCACCAAGGCGACGAUUGGUAGCCGGACUGAGAGGUUGAACGGCCACAUUGGGACUGAGACACGGCCCAGACUCCUACGGGAGGCAGCAGUGGGGGAUAUUGCACAAUGGGGGAAACCCUGAUGCAGCGACGCCGCGUGGAGGAAGAAGGUUUUCGGAUUGUAAACUCCUGUCGUUAGGGACGAUAAUGACGGUACCUAACAAGAAAGCACCGGCUAACUACGUGCCAGCAGCCGCGGUAAAACGUAGGGUGCAAGCGUUGUCCGGAAUUACUGGGUGUAAAGGGAGCGCAGGCGGGAAGACAAGUUGGAAGUGAAAACCAUGGGCUCAACCCAUGAAUUGCUUUCAAAACUGUUUUUCUUGAGUAGUGCAGAGGUAGAUGGAAUUCCCGGUGUAGCGGUGGAAUGCGUAGAUAUCGGGAGGAACACCAGUGGCGAAGGCGGUCUACUGGGCACCAACUGACGCUGAGGCUCGAAAGCAUGGGUAGCAAACAGGAUUAGAUACCCUGGUAGUCCAUGCCGUAAACGAUGAUUACUAGGUGUUGGGGGAUUGACCCCCUCAGUGCCGCAGUUAACACAAUAAGUAAUCCACCUGGGGAGUACGACCGCAAGGUUGAAACUCAAAGGAAUUGACGGGGGCCCGCACAAGCAGUGGAGUAUGUGGUUUAAUUCGAAGCAACGCGAAGAACCUUACCAGGUCUUGACAUCCGAUGCAUAGCACAGAGAUGUGUGAAAUCCUUCGGGACAUCGAGACAGGUGGUGCAUGGUUGUCGUCAGCUCGUGUCGUGAGAUGUUGGGUUAAGUCCCGCAACGAGCGCAACCCCUAUCAUUUGUUACCAGCACGUAAAGGUGGGGACUCAAAUGAGACCGCCGCGGACAACGCGGAGGAAGGCGGGGACGACGUCAAGUCAUCAUGCCCCUUAUGACCUGGGCUACACACGUACUACAAUGGUCGGAAACAGAGGGAAGCGAAGCCGCGAGGCAGAGCAAACCCCAGAAACCCGAUCUCAGUUCGGAUCGCAGGCUGCAACCCGCCUGCGUGAAGUCGGAAUCGCUAGUAAUCGCAGGUCAGCAUACUGCGGUGAAUACGUUCCCGGGCCUUGUACACACCGCCCGUCACACCAUGGGAGUCAGUAACGCCCGAAGUCAGUGACCUAACUGCAAAGAAGGAGCUGCCGAAGGCGGGACCGAUGACUGGGGUG